rnacentral:rRNA from 1 species
AGUGAACGCUGGCGGUAGGCCUAACACAUGCAAGUCGAACGGCAGCACAGUAAGAGCUUGCUCUUACGGGUGGCGAGUGGCGGACGGGUGAGGCAUACAUCGGAAUCUACUUUUUCGUGGGGGAUAACGUAGGGAAACUUACGCUAAUACCGCAUACGACCUACGGGUGAAAGCAGGGGAUCUUCGGGCCUUGCGCGAUUGAAUGAGCCGAUGUCGGAUUGGCUAGUUGGCGGGGUAAAGGCCCACCAAGGCGACGCUCCGUAGCUGGUCUGAGAGGAUGAUCAGCCACACUGGAACUGAGACACGGUCCAGACUCCUACGGGAGGCAGCAGUGGGGAAUAUUGGACAAUGGGCGCAAGCCUGAUCCAGCCAUACCGCGUGGGUGAAGAAGGCCUUCGGGUUGUAAAGCCCUUUUGUUGGGAAAGAAAAGCAGCAGGUUAAUACCCCGCUGUUCUGACGGUACCCAAAGAAUAAGCACCGGCUAACUUCGUG